rnacentral:tRNA from 1 species
GCGGGAGUGGCGGAAUUGGUAGACGCGCUGGAUUCAGGAUCCAGUGGGCGCAAGCCCGUGGGGGUUCAAGUCCCCCCUCCCGCACCA